rnacentral:rRNA from 1 species
CACGGGGUUGCGAGCGUUGUCCGGAAUUACUAGGCGUAAAGGGCAGGCAGGCGGAUCCAUAAGUUUAUCGUUUAAGGCGUCGGCUUAACCGGCGUAGGGCGGUAGAUACUGUGGAUCUGGAAUACGGUUGGGGAAGACAGAAUUCCUGGUGUAGCGGUGGAAUGCGCAGAGAUCAGGAGGAAUACCGAAGGCGAAGGCAGUCUUCCAAGCCGUUAUUGACGCUCAACUGCGAAGGUGUGGGUAUCAAACAGGAUUAGAUACCCUGGUAGUCCCUGAG